rnacentral:rRNA from 1 species
GUGCCAGCAGCCGCGGUAACACCAGCCCCUCGAGUGGUGGGGACUAUUAUUUGGCCUAAAGCGUCCGUAGCUGGCUGUAUCCGUCUCCCGGUAAAUCCGGCGUCCUAAGCGUCGGCUCUCGGGUGAUACCAUACAGCUAGAGGGUGGGAUAGGUGAGCGGUAUUUCUGGGGUAGGGGCGAAAUCCUUUGAUCCCAGGAGGACCACCAGUGGCGAAGGCUGCUUACUAGAACACGCCUGACGGUCAGGGACGAAAGCUGGGGCAGCGAACCGGAUUAGAUACCCGGGUAGUCCCAGCUGUAAACGAUGCUAGCUAGGUGUUGGGUCGGCCACGCGCCGCCCCAGUGCCGCAGGGAAGCCGUUAAGCUAGCCGCCUGGGGAGUACGGCCGCAAGGCUGAAACUUAAAUGAAUUGACGGGG